GAUGAAGAACGUAGCGAAAUGCGAUAAGUAGUGUGAAUUGCAGAUUUCAGUGAGUCAUCGAAUCUUUGAACGCACAUUGCGCCCGCCAGUAUUCUGGCGGGCAUGCCUGUUCGAGCGUCAUUUCAACCAUCAAGCCCCCGGGCUUGCGUUGGGGCCCUGCGGCUGCCGCAGGCCCCGAAAAGCAGUGGCGGGCUCGCUGUCACACCGAGCGCAGUAGCGAUUCUCGCUCCGGGCGUCGGCGGCGGGCACCGGCCGUGAAACCCCCCCACAUCCACAAGGUUGACCUCGGAUCAGGUAGGAAUACCCGCUGAACUUAAGCAUAUCAAUAAGCGGAGGA
rnacentral:misc_RNA from 1 species